GCCAUAUUCAUCUCCUCAUCAGAGACUUGAAAAAAAAAAACUGAACUUAUGCACAUUACUCAAGAAUAUUUUUCAGGAGAACUACGUGUAUUCCAUUACAACACAGCAGAUAUUAUUUCUAGAACUGUAAUGACUGAGGGAUUUCGUCAGCCAAGGAUCAACUCUCACAGUUGUCGUAACUUAGCUUUGUUAAACAAUUCCUCAGUCAUUCCUGAAAAUAGGUUUGGGAUAGAAUACAGAAAUUUUUUAUACCCUUCAAGAAAAAUCUGAAUUUUUAUUCUAUAAAGAUACCGAGUUUUGACCUCUAAAUAACAUCUACAAUGCCAAGUGCAACGCUUAGAUAUAACAUACAAUUAAC